rnacentral:rRNA from 1 species
CAGCAGCCGCGGGAAUACGGAGGGUGCAAGCGUUAAUCGGAAUUACUGGGCGUAAAGCGCACGCAGGCGGUCUGUCAAGUCAGAUGUGAAAUCCCCGGGCUUAACCUGGGAACUGCAUUUGAAACUGGUAGGCUAGAGUCUUGUAGAGGGGGGUAGAAUUCCAGGUGUAGCGGUGAAAUGCGUAGAGAUCUGGAGGAAUACCGGUGGCGAAGGCGGCCCCCUGGACAAAGACUGACGCUCAGGUGCGAAAGCGUGGGGAGCAAACAGGAUUAGAUACCCCAGUAGUCCCUGUCUCUUAUAC